ACUGAGGAAUCCUUAGCUUUGUCGCGAAAGCUCUUUUGGCUGCUAACCACGCAAUUCCGCCCUUUUUCCCCCCCCUUUAUCUCGUUGCUCUCGUGUGAUCAUCCUGCUCCUCUCGGUCAUGACAACACCCCAGCUCUCCGCCGCCCUCAGAUUUCAGAAGCGUAAUUCAUAACGAAUAUGCACAAUAAAGUCAGUUCCGGGGAAACCUGAGGGACCAAACUGGCGUCCCCUCUACAACCUGCUAACAUGGCAUUUACUGCUACAAAAAACCCCGCAAGUCAUCCGCCUCUCCACCCUGUUCCAGUUCCCGAAGGAAUCCCCGUCGUCCCCACGCUCAGCAAUGCCUUCCGAAUUAGCGCUUCGCUUAAUUCAAUCCACUGUUAUUGCCCCUGUGAAGGAAAUGAGUUUUCCCGUCAAAAGAGAGACUGAUCUAACGGAGCGUCCUUCUGGUAAAACCCUGGUGUAACUCACCCCGCCUUCCCGUCACCUCUUGGUUCUUUAGGUUUUUUCUCCAAACUUGUUCCAAGGCUUUGCCUGUUAUUGGUAUCAAACUUGCAGGCCUCUUACUGCCUGUAUCAAAUCUUCUCUUUUGACUAUAGGUGCCAUGUUUGCUAGUCUCCUGCCAACAUCUCUGAGUGUAGACGUCAGUUACAAAUCCUGGGACCACGCUCGUGAUUUCGUAUCUAGUUCUUUCAUCAUUUUGAAACGGAGAUGACUCUGCAUCCUCUCAUUUUGUCCAAGUAUGUGUUUCGCAAUGAGGGCACUGAAAGUGGCCUUCACAUCCUUCUCUGCCCCUUUUACGGUCUAUAGGGGCACAACUCUCUGCUCGCUCUCGUCUCGUUCUGGCUACGAAACUUUAUGUUUAGUACAAAAACUGAACGUUUUGCUACUUCUUAAAAUUGUCUGUGUGCGGUCUAGGUUAACAAGGCUUUUGAAGAGUCUCUACUAUAGCAAAAGUUCUUUGGCGAUAUCACCGCAUAGAUCGGCCUGAGCCCCUUGUAAGCCUGCGCGCCAGAUCUCACGCAUCUAACUUACAUGCUGAAAUCCAUGGUCUAUGAUCCAUAUAAAGUCCAUAAAGACCAUAUAAAGAAGGAGAAAUGCCUCUUCGCAGGGUAUUCAGGGAAGAGGUUCAGGACGCCUCUACUAGACGUUUUGAGUAUUCUGAAGUGGAAACUGUGAAUGCCUGCUUUCUUCCUCCGUUCCCACACUGCCGUGAGCUGGGGAGCCAACAGUUUUGCCAGCAAUAUAUUUUACAACCCUAAGAUUUAAAAAUAUUGUUUGUGAGCUAACUCACUAUCUGAAAUGCCUCACAGAAUCUUUCAUCUCCUAAAAAUCUCUAAACAGUUAAUCACAUGCAUGGGAGGUACAGCGCAUCCUUUAUGUAUUUUUCAUGCGUGUGUGUACAGAAAGCAGGAAAGCAACCUCUCCAACAGAUAGCCCUGGAACACUGUAAAAGUGAGCAGAUGUUUUCAGAUAAUACCUCUGUCAAUAAGGUCAGGACUUUCUCUGUUCAGCAGCCAGCUUUGCUGUGUGCUCUAAGAUCCGCAUGGAUUGUUUUCAAAACUCUCUUGUUUCAUGGGAUUCCAGGGGAGACUUAGUCAUAUAAACAUGAGCGCAUCUGAGGUAAGAGACUCCCAAGUACAGCGCUUCAAAACAAAGAUAAUCGUGCAGCCUUGAUAUCUUGCAGUUCUUACCGCAGAGUUUUUGUACUCGUGGUUCAAAUGGUAGCUCCCCAGUUGAAACGGCCAACUGGAGUUAGAUUUAACUGGUGUAAGGUACUUUGCACCUUUUCAGCGAUCAACGCUACAAAUGUUAUUCGAAAUAAAUACUGAAUCUGAAGUUGAGCUUCAGCCAAUUUUACAAAGUAGAGAAGAUGCGCAGCAUAACUGGCCUCUAGAGCAACUACAACAGUUACAAGUAGCCUGACACAGUAAGAAAGUGGUUCAGGAAGGCCUGCUGUUCUCCUAUGUAAUAUCUAUAUAUUGAAGUUUGAGGCUGACCCUGAACAGUUUUUUGAUAAUGCACGUCACGCGCAACUGUUUCAACAAAGAAGCAAACUUCUGCUGAGUUCAGAAAGCUGGGGUUUCAUAGUAUUCACGGGCAUGUGCAAGUGGACUAUUUAAAACUGCUGUCAAAGAAUGAAGCACUAACUGAAGAAGGAAGACACACACAUCGAGUAAGCAGCAGCUUUAGGGUAAUUUAAAUAAACCUCAUGAUCUUCAGCUCUUUCUUGAAAAACAUAACUUCUUGGGAUCCUCAACAGAAGGUGGUGGUGAGUCACCAGGGUCAUGCUGCCCGUGGAGAUUGCUGAGCGUCAGGAAAUGCACCGUUAUAAAGAGCUGAGGAUCGAAAGGCUGAGACUGAGCCAAGCUAAGAUGGUGCUAUCAUUGCUAUCGAUCCAAACAAUAACUUGGACAUAUCAGGAAACAAAUGUCAAUUUUUUACAACACUGGGCACAAACUACAGCAUGUGUUUUGAAAUGAUGUUCUAAUCCAGAAAAUCAAAGUUUGUGCCAGUUACUUUCACCACUGUUAACUUCAAAAUCCUGCUUGAGUUUGUAAUAUGCAGAGGCCCCGAAGGUACGUGGAGGGAGAGCUAUAGAAAAGCCACCACAAACUGUAAUGAGCCAAAGCUUGUGAAGAUCUAAUUUUUCAAACUACUUUUGACCUGGUGCAUGUAAAGUAAAGAGAACGUUCAAAGGAUUAGUGGGCCAAAGAAUCAGGAUUCUUCUAAAAAGAACUGCAGGCAACUGAUCCAUCUCCAGACUUCAAAGAGAUCCUUGACUGGUGACUUCUCAGAGAGUCACAAUUUAAGAUCUGCCAGGCUUCGACUGCGAGUUGCAGGGUGAUUUCAGGGCUUCUGGGUCAUCAUCUGCUUCCUGCGCUUUCAGGUUGCUCAGUCAUCCCAGCCCCCGCUUGAGAGGUUCCUCAUAACUUCACGUGGAAAUACAGGCAGAGCAUACGGAGUACGUAACGGUGUCCGUCAAUGCAGAUUGCAGCCAGGAGUACCUGUACUCUUCUGAUGAAACCUUAGUCCCAGGGCAGAUCAUCAAGAGCCCUAUAUUGUCUGUGUAUAUUCUUCAAGCACAGCCAGUGCCUAAAGAAGAGCCUGUCACUUUACAGGAUCAAGAAAUCCAACCUCAUGGAUUUCAGGUCUGAUGAUCUUUUUGGACGUUCAACCACCUCAGCAGUGACAGAUAUAGUCCAGCGUAAUUGUGAUAUGUGUGGGGAGUCAUUAUCUAGUGUUAAUAACCUAGAGAUAUGUCUUCCCACCUGUCCUCACCAGGCUCCUUCAAUUACCUCCAUUGCUCUUUGCCUCUUUUUCUACAUAGUCUUCUAAUGCAAUGAAAAUUAUUCACUUUAUUAUGCUUUAAAGAUAAUGUCCGCUUUCUUCAUUUUUAUUUUGCUUUCAAUUCCUGUGUACGUUUCAUUCACCUUCAUUAUCUAAUGGAGAGUUGGAGGUAGAGAAGCUAGAGCUAUUACUGAUGAGAUGUAAUUAAAGCAAUCAGAAGCACAGAGAA